rnacentral:rRNA from 1 species
CAGCUUAAUCUUCUCCUAUAAUCACACAACCCCCCGUCAACCCUUAACCACUACUGAACCGCUUUAUAUCGUAUAAAAGCUAUCAUGCUAGAACUAGUAACAAGAACCACACUUCUCCUAAAUGUGAACUUAAGCCAAAACGGACCCUCCAUUGGCCAUUAACGUACAUGCAUUACCCAUAACAACAAUACACUAGAAAACCUUAUAGCACAGAACGUUAACCUAACACUAGAACAUUCAAGGAAAGAUUAAAAGAAAGAGAAGGAACUCGGCAAACCUUAGCCCCGCCUGUUUACCAAAAACAUCGCCUCUUGACACACAUAAGAGGUCCAGCCUGCCCAGUGACAAAGUUUAACGGCCGCGGUACCCUGACCGUGCGAAGGUAGCAUAAUCACUUGUUCUUUAAAUGAGGACUCGUAUCAAUGGCAUCACGAGGGCUAUACUGUCUCCUCUCUCCAAUCAGUGAAACUGAUCUUCCCGUGAAGAAGCGGGAAUUUAACUAUAAGACGAGAAGACCCCAUGGAGCUUUAAACACGAUAUUAACCCCACGCCCAAACACCAACUAAGCUACAGAAUCCUUAAUAUCUGCUUUAGGUUGGGGUGACCGCGGAGUAAAACACAACCUCCACGACUAACGGGCCACGCCCUUAUCCACGAACUACAAUUCCAAGAAUCAACAAACUGACGUUUAUGACCCGACAACUCGAUCAACGAACCAAGUUACCCUGGGGAUAACAGCGCAAUCCACUUCAAGAGCCCCUAUCGACAAGUGGGUUUACGACCUCGAUGUUGGAUCAGGGUGUCCCAGUGGUGCAGCCGCUAA